CAGAGUAGGAAAGAGAGAGAUAGAGAGAGAGCGAGAGAGAGAGAGAUAGGCAGAGUAGGAAAGAGGGAGAGAGGGGGAGAGAGAGAGAGAGAGUAAACAGAGAAAGAGAGAGAUAGAGAGAGAGAGAGAGUAAACAGAGUAGGAAAGAGGGAGAGAGGGGGAGAGAGAGGGGGAGAGAGAGUAAACAGAGUAGGAAAGAGGGAGAGAGGGAGAGAGAGAGAGUAAACAGAGUAGGAAAGAGGGAGAGAGGGGAGAGGAGAGAGAGAGAGAGUAAACAGAGUAGGAAAGAGGGAGAGAGGGGGAGAGAGAGAGAGUAAACAGAGUAGGAAAGAGGGAG
ensembl:lncRNA